CACGUAGGGCGCGAGCGUUGUCCGGAAUUAUUGGGCGUAAAGAGCUCGUAGGCGGCCUGUCGCGUCGGGAGUGAAAGCCCACUGCUUAACGGUGGGUCUGCUUCCGGUACGGGCGGGCUGGAGUAUGGCAGGGGAGACUGGAAUUCCUGGUGUAGCGGUGGAAUGCGCAGAUAUCAGGAGGAACACCGGUGGCGAAGGCGGGUCUCUGGGCCAUUACUGACGCUGAGGAGCGAAAGCGUGGGGAGCGAACAGG
rnacentral:rRNA from 1 species